UCCUCUAUGUCAUUUCUCCACCAUGCAUUUAUAACCUCAUGAUACUACAGCAGUGUUUCCCUGGGUUCCUGUGGUGGGGGUGGGGGUUGUCCUGACUGCUGGAGCUCUUCUACUCACCAUCUACUGCUAUAUGAAGAGGAGAUCCACAGGAGGAAGUGAUGCAACAGCAGACACACAGAGUGUCCAUCCUGAUCCUAACAGUGACACUUACACAGCUCUGAACAUGAAGACCAGGUCACCAGAGUAUGACACCUUGGCAAAUGUGAGGGACUUCCCCAGUGACACAGACAGACCGUCAGAUAGAUGCUGAGCCCUCAGAUUAUGAGAAUUUAAGAGAACCACCACAGAACCUGGACUGAAGAGAACCACCACAGAACCUGAACUGAAGAGAACCACAACAGAACAUGGACUGAAGAGCUACAGCAUCAAACCAAAGCUAGGCCUCACAAUGCUAUUCUCUUACUAUCAUAAUGCUUUCUUAUCUAGAAGGUUUAAGACAAUGAGCUUUAACUGUUGAGUGAAUGCUGGAAUUUAGAUUGUUCACCUAAUGAUAAAUACAGUAUGUGCACUACCGUUCAAAAGUUUGGGGUCACUUAAAAUUUCCUUGUUUUUGAAAGAAUAGCAAAAAUAAAUUGUCCAUUAAAAUAGCAUCUAGUUGAUCAGAAAUGCAGUGUAGACAUUGUUAAUGUUGUAAAUUACUAUUGUACCUGGAAAUGGCAGAUUUUUUAUGGAAUAUCUACAAAGGCGUACAGAGGCCAAUUAUCAGCAUCCAUCACUCCUCUGUUCCAAUGGCACGUUGUGUUAGCUAAUCCAAGUUUAUCAUUUUUAAAGGCUAAUUGAUCAUUAGAAACCACAUUGCAAUUAUAUUAGCACAGCUGAAAACUGUUGUGCUCGCAGAUUAAAGAAGCAAUGAAACUGGCCAUCUUUAGACUAGUUGAGUAUCUGGAGAAUCAGCAUUUGAGGGUUCGAUUACAGGCUCAAAAUGUCAAUUUAUCUGUUUACUAUCUAUAGAUUUGAUUGCUUAUCUUUUUUUUAUGGCAUUUUGCCAUUUCCAGAUUUUUAUAACAUAUAAAUUAUUCACUUGUCUUAGUGACACAAAAAGGAAUUAUAUUGACAAGCUUUUAAAUAUUUCUUUCUCUCGAGUCGCUCCUGAUGUGUUAAAAUAUGUUUUACUUUGUAUUGCUGUCAGUCAUUAUUGGUCAUUUUAUAUUUUAUAUUAUGUUAUACCAUAUUGUUCAGCAUCUUGAUAUUGCUUGUUUUAUUAUCAAAUUAUUAAUAAUUACAUAUUUUAGAUACAUUGAAUACUGUAUAAGCAUCAUGUUAUAAAUAAGCUCAAAGGUAGACAAUAAAAAGACAAGAAAUAAAUUGAUUAUUUUGUUAAUUUACAUUGAUUCAUAACUAUUUCCAUUCUGCUCGUUUCUUGUAUUUCUGCCUAUUGGACACAUGAUGGUGCCAUUGAACCACAUAACCAUGAGUGGCGAGGCACACACAUACACACAUAUCUAGACCUUGCCAGAUUCUUUCCCAGUA